GGGGGCGACUGGCUUCGACCGGUUCUCGUUCGACUUCGGACUGCGCGUCAGGGAUCCCGGGUCACCCUGUCAACACCCCGGGACGGCAUUCAAACUGCCAACAACUUUGCUCUCGCUGCCUGAUUCUCAGGUAGCCGUCCUCGCGGGGAGUGUCCGCGGCCCCGCGAGGACGUCAACAGCGGACUGGUCGCCAAGCUCCGCCCCGGGGCAAGGCGGCGAGACUUCACCGGGGCUGGCGCCGAAGGCCACCUGUCCGUGGGUGGUCGAGGGGCGAGACCCUGAUCACGGAACACACGCGUAGACGUUCGGAGCUGGCGGCUCUGGGACGGGGGUUCGAUUCCCCCCGCCUCCACCA
rnacentral:tmRNA from 1 species